GUAGGUGAACCUGCGGAAGGAUCAUUAGUGAAUUUAAGGGCGUAGACUUCGGUCUGGCCUGAACCCCCACUUUCUAACUCUGUGCAUUUUAUCGGUGGAGGACUUGGACAAGAGGAGAUAACGGACUUCGGUUUGAAUCUGUAUGACCUUCGAAUCCUAUGUCUUCUGCGGCUCAUUUUAAACACUAGUCAAAGUAUGUAACGAAAUAUCGAAAUAAAAAAAAACUUUCAACAACGGAUCUCUUGGCUCUC
rnacentral:misc_RNA from 1 species